ACCAAAUAUAACACAAUAACAAAUCAAAUUAAACGUCAACUCAAACGCAAUGACACAAGAUAUUAACUGGUCAACUGAUACAAUAAACUUACUUUACCACUAGAACGAUAUGGAAUGAUAAUAUCAAUAACAAGGAAGCGUUUGAUUGCUUGAAAUGAAAUAUAUAUAUAUAAAAAAAAACUACGGAACAUAUUUUGAGUUAAGACUGGUAGGACCGUAUUAUAUAAAUUACGGAAAACUGAAUAUUGUAAAGAAUAAAAUUGAUAAGAUUAUACCAAAAAUUAAUAAAAUGAUGAUACAGCUGUAGAGUCGAGAUAUUAUCUCUUUCUUUAACUCAAAAUACGUCCCAUAGUGCGACGGUUCGAUAAUGUAAUGAGUCCCAUGAUAUAACUACAAAAAUCUUCUGAUUUGCGUCACUCUAUCAGAAACCUGACGAAACUAGUUUUGUGUAUACUAUCAUACUCAAAAAAUAAAAGAAGAGAAGACGCACAGAAAAAUAAAGAAUCAAAUAUUCAAGUGGGAGAAAUGUAUUUGCUAUAUUUGCUCGUAUAAAUGUUUCUGCAAAGAAUGACUUAAGCUCCCUUUUGUAACCAACAAAACAGGUCCAACGUAAGCCAUAAAUGGAGCAUUGAAUCAAAUCAAAUGUCAUAAAGAGAAAUUGAUUCUUUGUAACUAUUUUGAUAACGUGCAUUCAAGAAAAAGAUAUUGUAAGUUUAACUAGGUUAAACAACAAUAAUCUUUUUAAUGGGUUUAAAUCUUUUAUAUUUAAAUAAAUAUAAGAUAAUCAUAAAAUAAGUUAUUAGACAUAAUGUCCAACUAACAAAUUUUAAUUUAACCCCAAAUAUAUAAAGUGAGACAUUUGCUAAUUUCAUAUUUAGCCAAAUUCAAAAUUUUACAAGCUUUGUAAAACACUCUCGUUACACCUCCAUUUCUUAUUCAAAACAACUCCAAUUUUGACCAACAAAUACACUAUCUCAUAGUGCUCACGGUGACGAUUACAUCGUGCCCAAGUUCCGGUUAUUCCGACAGACGUCUCCAUCGAAAAACCCAUCGGAAAAUUGGUCCACGCCACUUUGUCAAAAAACGAGUUCCAACAGUGAUGAGUAGUGAGCUAAUAUGAUUUUGUGUUCCUUGUAAUGCUCUCAGUGGAUUCCUGAGCUCAGGCAUUAAGCUCCUGGUGUUCCUUUUAUCCUCGUCGGCACACAACUCGGUGAUCAAACUCUUUCCUUCUUUAAACUUAGCUUAGCUAUUGUUUUAACUAUAUAUGUUCUUUGAUUUUUAAGUUAUUCUUACAUGAUUUUGAAUGGUCAUGGGAGAUUAUUGAUAUUUUUUUGGUAUUUACAGACCUUCGAGAUGACAAACAAUUCUUCAUAGAUCAUCCUGGUGCAGUGCCAAUUACUACACACCAGGUAUUGUCUUCAGAACGCAUAGUUCCACCAUGAGUGCCAUGUUCUUGUUGAAAACAAAAGGGUCUACAUUGGGCAAGGAUAGGAACUGAAGAAACUGAUUGGAUCUGCGAUCUACAUUGAAUGUAAUUCCAAGACACAUCAGAAUGUGAAGGCAGUGUUUGAUGCAGCCAUAAAAGUGGUGCUUCAGCCACCAAAGCAGAAGAAGAAAAGAAACAAGAACCGUUGCGUGUUCUUGUGAUAAAUGAAAAUCUCUAAAGACUAGGAGGUAAACGAAAGGAAGAAGAAGAAGAUCUCGACUAUUUAAUUCGUCCCCACUUUAAUAUGACAAUUCCAACGUGAAGGGAGACAUUCCGAGUAGCUUUUUGUGUAGUUGCUAAAACAAAUUGUGUUGUUGUGUCUUUUACUCUUUGCUGGUGAAUCCUUUUGAGUUCA